rnacentral:rRNA from 1 species
GGUUAAAAAGCUCGUAGUUGGAUUUCUGUCUAGGGUGGCCGGUGCCCACUAUGUGAAGCAUCUGGUUCAGUCUGGGCAUCCUCUUGGGGAUCGUCUCCGUGCUUGAUUGCAUGGGGCGGAAUUCAAGACUUUUACUUUGAGGAAAUUAGAGUGUUCACGGCAAGCUUUCGCUUUGAAUACAUUAGCAUGGAAUAAUAAUAUAGGGCGUAAGUUCUAUUUUGUUGGUUUCUAGGAACAUACGCAAUGAUUAAUAGGGAUAAUUGGGGGCACUCGUAUUAACACGUCAGAGGUGGAAUUCUUAGAUUGUGUUAUGACGAAACUACUGCGAAAGCAUUUGCCAAGGGAUGUUUUCAUUGAUCAAGGAACGAAAGUAUGGGGAUCGAAGACGAAUUAGAUACCGUCGUAGUCUAUACCAUAAACUAUGCC